CGAGCGGGGAGUAGCAAUACUUCGCCGGCGACCGGCGCACGGGUGAGUAACACGUGUGCAACCAACCCCGUACCGGGAGAUAACCCGCGGAAACGUGGACUAACAUCCCAUGACACCUUUUCCCCGCAUGGGGGAGAGUUUAAAACCCCGGUGGUACGGGACGGGCACGCGCGACAUUAGGUAGUUGGCGGGGUAAGGGCCCACCAAGCCGACGAUGUCUAGGGGUUCUGAGAGGAAGGUCCCCCACACUGGAACUGAGACACGGUCCAG
rnacentral:rRNA from 1 species